rnacentral:rRNA from 1 species
CCUACGGGGUGCAGCAGUGAGGAAUAUUGGUCAAUGGGCGCGAGCCUGAACCAGCCAAGUAGCGUGAAGGAUGACUGCCCUACGGGUUGUAAACUUCUUUUAUAAAGGAAUAAAGUGAGGCACGUGUGCCUUUUUGUACGUACUUUAUGAAUAAGGCUCGGCUAACUCCGUGCCAUCAGCCGCGGUAAUACUGCGGAUCCGCGCGUUAUCCGGAUUUAUUGGGUUUAAAGGGAGCGUAGAUGGGUUGUUAAGUCAGUUGUGAAAGUUUGCGGCUCAACCGUAAAAUUGCAAUUGAUACUGGCAGUCUUGAGUACAGUUGAGGUAGGCGGAAUUCGUGGUGUAGCGGUGAAAUGCUUAGAUAUCACGAAGAACUCCGAUUGCGAAGGCAGCUUACUAAACUGCCACUGACAUUGAUGCUCGAAAGUGUGGGUAUCAAACAGGAUUAGAUACCCUUGUAGUC